AUCUGUUACACUGUUGUGUAUAACUCAUAUUAGUACUUGCUUUCUAACACGCUCGAAAUAUCUCGAUUUGAAUGGCUAUUAAAUAGUGGUAUUAUGUUUUGUGUCGAUGUUACCGCGGCAAACAGAUGAAACACCAGACGAUACAUCGAUCGUCUGCUGCUGUACUGCACGUGAUGAACGCUGUACACUCGUACCAAUGGUGAUAAUGAUUGUUGGUUUGGUUUUCAUGGUUGUGGGAUUUGCAGUACCACGCGGCUAUGACUUCGAUCCAAAUAAACCAGCCCGUGAAAUGGAAGCAACUGAGAAUUUUUACAUUACUUUAGGAUAUAAUUUAGACAUUUGUAUUACAGUGGGUAUGGGGUUCAUCGCAUUAGGAGGAAUGAUUAUCUCAACUAUGAUGUUACAAGACGCAUUCUGUAGCAAAGAAGAUGAUGACGAUUCGUUCACCGACUAUCUAAAUAUGGCUAACUAUUCUAAUUAUGGUACCUCUGUGACAAACACUCAUGACCUGAAUAAUCAUAAUUCACGUUGAAUUAUGGGAGAAAAUUAAAACGAAAACAAGAUAAUUCUAUAGCAGCAACGACUUUGUGCUCUAUAAACGAUGUAAAACACUUUUAAGUGUUUGAAGAAAUCUGAAUUUUUGACAUCUAGCUGCACUAUCGGUCUAUUACAUAAACAUGUACACUGUAGAGGAAUGUGGAAUUGCAACAGAUUUUCUGUUUACAUUAUAAACAGCUACACCCUUCAAACGCACCAGACAUUCAGAUGUUAUUCUUGCGUUUUUCUGCUCAUCACUUCACAAUACUUUUGCGUCAAUAUUUAGUUUAGAAUUACUGCAAAAACUGAUAUGGAAGCUUUAACUUACAUCUUAUCGAUUCAAAACGAAAUAAAAGCAAAAAACAUAAUCAUAUCUAACAACUUAUGCACAUUACAUUUUUGUCAAGAAUUAAAAAGAAAAACAAAACAAAACAAAAUAAACAAAAACGAUAUGUUAAAAGGAUCGAAUUGAUCAAAAGGUUUCUUCUCAAAAUGCAUGUUUUUCAGUAUCUGUAACCUUGGCAUACAGUAUCUGUAACCUUGGCAUACCUGUUAAAAAGUUUCUGUUCCAUUAGUUUUAUUUACGUCAGCUUCCCUUUUUUACUUAUACAUAAUCUAAUUUGACUUUUAGUAGGAAGCAUAAUCAUGAAAAUUACACAACCUAAUGACAAUUACAUAACUUCUUAUAUUGUUUAUUUUUAGAGAUGUUCAAAUAGCUUUUAAUGAAAUUAAACCAAAAUAGUUACAAUAAACUAUGAAUGUUG